UAGAAAUCCACAGAACAGUAACUGCAAGAGAAUUCCAGAACCCCUAAGCUCAGCUCAGUGGAAGCUAAGCAAUUGGACAAAGCCAUCUAAACCCAAAGCAAUGGCUCGAUGGAGUUCACCAGGGAGGAUCUUGCUCUGAUCUAAAUAUACAGUGGAAAUCUGAUGUGAUCUACAUGAAUUUCCCUCAACCUUAAGAAGAGAUGGAAUGUUCAUAAUGAGGAAGAAGUCUUCUGAUUUUCUAAAUAGGUAAUCACAACACAGAAGAGUGAAGAAGGACACAGGCUCUUAGCCACCAUGGCCUAAAACUGUCCCACACCUCUUCAACUCACAUCCUACUGUCCACAACCAGUCAUCAGUCAUGUGCAACGUUCACACAUAAAAGCCCUGGAAAAUGAAGGCCAGUGAUUUGCCUAGGAAAAGUAGAUGAAGAGAGCAGACUGGCCUUACCUUUGAAUAACCCUAAGCAAGUUAUCAACCUGUCUUAACCUACUUCUUCUUCUAAAAGAUGGGAAUAACAACACCAGCAUCCUUCUAGUGUGUGAAAGUUCAAACAAAAUGAAGCAAAAUCUUCACAGAGUAUCUGACAAUGGAAAUGAUGUUAGACAAAAAGUGAAUUCAGCAGUUUUCUUAUUUGAAUUCAAAAUGGGUCAUAAAGCAGUGAAGACAACUUGCAACAUCAACAAUACAUUUGGCCCAGGAACUACUAAUGAACCUACAGUAUAGUGGUGGUUCAAGAAGUUUCAUAAAGGAGACAGCCUUGAAGAUAAGGAGCACAGUGGUCGGCCAUUGAAGUUGACAACAACCAGUUGAGAGCAAUCAUCGAAGCAGAUCCUCUGACAACUACACGAGAAGUUGCCGAAGAACUCAUCGUUGACCAUUUUAUGAUUGUUCGGCAUUUGAAGCAAAUUGGAAAGGUGAAAAAGCUUAAUAAGUGGGUGUUAGGAUCACCUAAGCAGACCAUUCCCUUCCCCUCCCACAGGCCUUACAAUACAGUCUCUUGCGCUCUCCACACAGUCACCCCAGGGCAAAAGACAAACCCCCCACUUCACUGACCCCUCCACUAACUGUUUGUCCAGGCAGUUACAGGAUGCCAUUAACGUCUGUUCACCUCACAUAACAAAGCUGGCAAAAAACAUCUCCAGGAUGCGGACAAGACACUUGCAUCCCCGAAUCAGCUCCCCGACCCUGACCCAGUUCCUCAUCCUAUAAAGCCCUGCUGUAGUCUGUAAGUGUGGCUGCCUCCUCUGCUUUUGUCAGGAGGUAGCCCGGCAGGACUG
rnacentral:lncRNA from 1 species